CGCAUCUGUGCAUGCAGCAUAUCAAUAAGCGGAGGAAAAGAAACUAACAAGGAUUCCCCUAGUAACGGCGAGUGAAGCGGGAAGAGCUCAAAUUUGAAAUCUUAAAGGGUUUCCCUUUACGAAUUGUAGUUUAAAGAAGUGUUUUCUGUUGAGGUUUUGGUAAAAGUUCUUUGGAAUAGGACAUCAUAGAGGGUGAGAAUCCCGUAUUUGACCUUUACUUUCAACUUUGUGAUACACUUUCAAAGAGUCGGAUUGUUUGGGAAUGCAGUCCAAAAUGGGUGGUAAAUUUCAUCUAAAGCUAAAUAUUGGCGAGAGACCGAUAGCGAACAAGUACCGUGAGGGAAAGAUGAAAGGAACUUUGAAAAGAGAGUUAGACAGUACGUGAAAUUGUCAAAAGGGAAGCGUUUGACACCAGUGUUGUUUUUCUGAAAAUCAAUUAAAGAACUGUUUAUGCUAAGUUGUUUAGACUUUAUCAGCUAACUGUUUAGUUUUGAGCUUUUCUUUAAUGCACUUUUCAGUUAACAAGUCAACAUCAAUUUCUUUUGCUGCUAAAAAAGCUUGAGGAAGGUGGCUUGAGAUUCGUCUUAAGUGUUUAUAGCCUCUUGCCUAUGCAGUCGGAGAGAUUGAGGUCUGCAGCGUAGAUCCUUCGGGGCUAAAUGCAUUUGUGCUAAGUUAUAACAUUUUAUAGACAACUUGUUGACUAUGAUUUGUCUUGUAGCUUACUCGCUUAUGUUAUUUUACCUACGCUUAGGAUGUUGAACGCGCACAGAGUCUC
rnacentral:rRNA from 1 species